AUACGGAGGGUGCAAGCGUUAAUCGGAAUUACUGGGCGUAAAGCGCGCGUAGGCGGUUUUGUAAGCUGGAUGUGAAAGCCCUGGGCUCAACCUGGGAACUGCAUUCAGAACUGCAAGGCUAGAGUUUGGUAGAGGUGAGUGGAAUUUCCUGUGUAGCGGUGAAAUGCGUAGAUAUCGGGAGGAACACCAGUGGCGAAGGCGGCUCUCUGGACUGACACUGACGCUGAGGUGCGAAAGCGCGGGUAGCAAACAGGAUUAGAAACCCCAGUAGUCC
rnacentral:rRNA from 1 species